CCGAGUUUACACACUCCAAACCCCUGUGAACAUACCUACCGUUGCUUCGGCGUGACGCCCCGGGUGCCUUCUGGCCCCGGAUCCAGGCGCCCGCCGGGGACCUCAAACUCCUGUUUUUACCACGUGGAUCUUCUGAGUGGCGUAAAGCAAAUCAAUCA
rnacentral:misc_RNA from 1 species